rnacentral:rRNA from 1 species
CGGACGGGUGAGUAACGCGUGAGAAUCUGCCUAAAGGACUGGGACAACAGCUGGAAACGGCUGCUAAUACCAGAUAUGCCAGAAAGUAAAAAGGGGUAACCCGCCUUUUGAUGAGCUCGCGUCUGAUUAGCUAGUUGGUAGGGUAAAGGCCUACCAAGGCACCGAUCAGUAACUGGUCUGAGAGGAUGACCAGUCACACUGGGACUGAGACACGGCCCAGACUCCUACGGGAGGCAGCAGUGGGGAAUUUUCCGCAAUGGGCGCAAGCCUGACGGAGCAAUACCGCGUGAGGGAGGAAGGCUCUUGGGUCGUAAACCUCUUUUCUCAGGGAAGAGCACAAUGACGGUACCUGAGGAAUCAGCAUCGGCUAACUCCGUGCCAGCAGCCGCGGUAAUACGGAGGAUGCAAGCGUUAUCCGGAAUGAUUGGGCGUAAAGCGUCCGCAGGUGGCAGUGUAAGUCUGCUGUCAAAGGUCAGGGCUCAACCCUGAACAGGCAGUGGAAACUACACAGCUAGAGUGCGGUGGGGGCAGAGGGAAUUCCCAGUGUAGCGGUGAAAUGCGUAGAGAUUGGGAAGAACACCGGUGGCGAAAGCGCUCUGCUAGGCCGCAACUGACACUCAUGGACGAAAGCUAGGGGAGCGAAUGGGAUUAGAUACCCCAGUAGUC